GUCUACAGCCAUACCACCCUGCAUGCACCUGAUCUCAGAGGCUAAACAGGGUCAAGCCUGGUUAAGACUUGGAUGGGGGGUGGAGCAGCAGAUGGCGUAGUGGUUA
rnacentral:rRNA from 1 species